AGUGAACGCUGGCGGUAGGCCUAACACAUGCAAGUCGAACGGCAGCACAGUAAGAGCUUGCUCUUACGGGUGGCGAGUGGCGGACGGGUGAGGAAUACAUCGGAAUCUACUUUUUCGUGGGGGAUAACGUAGGGAAACUUACGCUAAUACCGCAUAUGACCUACGGGUGAAAGCAGGGGAUCUUCGGACCUUGCGCGAUUGAAUGAGCCGAUGUCGGAUUAGCUAGUUGGCGGGGUAAAGGCCCACCAAGGCGACGAUCCGUAGCUGGUCUGAGAGGAUGAUCAGCCACACUGGAACUGAGACACGGUCCAGACUCCUACGGGAGGCAGCAGUGGGGAAUAUUGGACAAUGGGGUCAAACCUGAUCCAGCCAUGCCGCGUGGGUGAAGAAGGCCUUCGGGUUGUAAAGCCCUUUUGUUAGGAAAGAAAAGAAGCAGGUGAAUACCCCGCUGUUCUGACGGUACCCAAAGAAUAAGCACCGGCUAACUUCGUG
rnacentral:rRNA from 1 species